UCUUCAUUUGAGUCUUCAUUUGCGUUCUUUAUAAUAAACUAUAAUAGUGAGUGUAGCAUUUUCCUCAUUUCCAUGCUUCGUUCUAGCCAGUUGUAUAACCUGAAGCAGAGUGGUUGUGGGAUCCUCCAAGUUUGUAUCCAAAUCAGGUGGAAGUAACCUGGAUACCCGCUACUUGAGACUGGCAUCUGAAGGGAAGGAGUCUUGUGGGAUUGACUCCUGCAGCAUCUGGAGUCUGAUGCUCCAGACUCCAGUCAGUGUCAGGAUUAACUUGAAUAGUAAGACACCUAGUUGGUGUGAGAGUUGGAGAAGUGGUAUUGGAAAAGCCACUGUGAAUUUGAUUUCAAAAAAAAAAAUUCAUUAUUUUUGUUUUGUUUCCAAUUAGUAUAAAACUGGUUGAUGUCUAACAUAGCAUGGACAGAAAUUAUUUACAUGUCUGCUUGACAUAACAGCUUCACAGAUUCUGGUCCCUAAUUUAUGGUAAAUGGCGAAUCAAACACAGAAGCACUCACCCAGAGCACUAAAUAGUCUUUGAGCAGAACUGUUAAACACCGAAAGAACAGGCUACCCUACCCUUACCUUAUUUUAGAUCACUUUUCAUACUAUGUAGGCCAGAAUCAACAUUACUCUGCCUUACAGGGACUGUUUUUUAUUUCAGAACAAUUACAAUAAUGAUAUCAAUGAACAUGGAUAGAGAAUAUACUGUGGGCCAGAUACUCUCCCAGAUGGUUUACCAAUAUUUUAUUUAUUCCUUCCAAUAAUGCUACAAAGUAAGCAAUUUUUAUUGUGCACCUUUUAUAUGAAAGGAACAUGAAGAUCAUUUUGUCCAAAAUCAUGAAAUAGCUUGUGGACAUAGAGACACUGCCUUUGUGGAGGGUAGGAUGUCAGAAAGAAGAGAGAAGGAGGCUGUUGAGUGGAACUCUAAUGGUACAGAACAGUGACCUGUGGUGUUUUCAAGUUACCUUGACUUAUGGACGUAGGUCCAUGGAUAUGAACUCUGAAUUGCAUAAUCAGGCUGAAUCUUAACAGUUACUAACAGUGAGUUAUCAAAGCUGAGUAACAUUCAACAACAUUAUACAUUAUUGGGUCACCUUACUUCUGUCAAGGCAUAGGUGAGGAGAGAUAUUUCUGAUGAAAAACUUGAGACACCUUCUAAAGGUCUGGGGUUUGCAAAACAAAAAAAGAUUAUUUAUUUAUAAAGACACAAGCUAGAUAAUGAUGGCAGAAAGCUGUGGUUAUCAAAGCCAAAUUGUAAUCAGAGACUGGAUAUCACAUUGUCUUAGAGAGUUUUAUGAUAAAGACUAUAUUUCCUUUAUGUAAAACACACUUAAGAAAUAAUAUAAGUUUUAAGCACACAAUGGGAAAUAACUAAGAGCUUCCAGGGACAAUGUAUCUUCAAUAUAAGUGUCUGAAAGUUAAUCCGCCAUUUCAGACCAUCCUGAAUUUCAAAAGGGGCUUGUUUUAGAACAAGUGAGAGGAGUUUCCUUCUUCAUCUAGAGCUUCAGUUUCCAAAGCAGUAAUGUAUUUAAGAUAAUACCUUCACCAGUGCAUGUAAAUCCUGAGCCCAUGUCUCGAGAGAAGGUUGUUAAGUAAACUCUUGUCUCCUUGGAAGACUUGAGGAUGACAGGAGAGAGCAUCACCUGUUUAAGACUAAGAGUUUGCUACUCUUGUUAAUUAUCUCCUUACCCAGUGUUAGGGUGAGAAAGGAACAGAACUGCAUAAUUUCUGUCCUUUAUACCAUCUAAAAACUCUUCUCUUAGAAUGGAUGAAAAUUACACAAGCACAUGUAGUCGUGGAAAUUUCAUUACUCAUACCAGCUUCAUUCACCAUCAGAGAAAUUAUUUUAAAACAUGUUGAGCUAAAAAAUGGUAAACUAGUCCUAUAAAAUUUUGGAAGAAUAAAAAAUUCUAACCAGAAAAUUAAGCCUAAUAUACAGGAGAAAGCUAAACAAUGACAACAACAACAAAAACACAGAAUGAACAUUAUCUCCAAGCAAAUGUAAGACAUGAAUAAAAAUGCACAA